UGAACGCUGGCGGCGUGCCUACUACAUGCACGUCGAACGCUUCACUUCGGUGAAGAGUGGCGAACGGGUGAGUAAUACAUAAGUAACCUGGCAUCUACAGGGGGAUAACUGAUGGAAACGUCAGCUAAGACCGCAUAGGUGUAGAGAUCGCAUGAACUCUAUAUGAAAAGUGCUACGGGACUGGUAGAUGAUGGACUUAUGGCGCAUUAGCUUGUUGGUAGGGUAACGGCCUACCAAGGCGACGAUGCGUAGCCGACCUGAGAGGGUGACCGGCCACACUGGGACUGAGACACGGCCCAGACUCCUACGGGAGGCAGCAGUAGGGAAUUUUCGGCAAUGGGGGAAACCCUGACCGAGCAACGCCGCGUGAAGGAAGAAGUAAUUCGUUAUGUAAACUUCUGUCAUAGAGGAAGAACGGUGGAUAUAGGGAAUGAUAUCCAAGUGACGGUACUCUAUAAGAAAGCCACGGCUAACUACGUG
rnacentral:rRNA from 1 species